GAGUUGUAUGACAGGAGAGAAGGUUAGUACUCCCCUUGACAAGGAUGGAAAAGGCCCUAGUCUACUGGCCUUCAACACACAUAUGGUUAAGGCACUUUGUGGCAUUUUGAACGUGGUCCAUUCUGGCUU